UCCCUGGUGGUCUAGUGGUUAGGAUUUGGCACUUUUAGUGUUGUGGCCCAGAUUCAAUCCCUGGUCUGGGAC
rnacentral:tRNA from 1 species